rnacentral:lncRNA from 1 species
AAGGCAAAACCUUGGGGAAGCCGUGAACUAAGCUACUGUGUGUUUCCGGAAGAUUUUGCCUCAAUGAUGCUCGUCUUUUUUCUUUUUCUUUUAAUGUUUUAUUUAUAUUGUUUUCUUUUAUUUUUAAAAAGCCAAGACUUUUAUAUAUUAUUUUUUUAAUUGGGGGAACGGGUCUCUAGUAGAUGGGCCUGGGGCCUCACCGCACAGCUUGUUCAUUGGCACUGCCCCCAGAAUCCUGUGGCUUCGUCACAUAUGGACGCUCCAGAGGACUAGAAAAGGGGUGGCUGCGCAGAGCUUCCAGGGCGUCAUCUGCUCAGAAGGCCAGGCCCACCGUGGCUGGGGCCAGGAGCUGUGCUGUCUGACUAGUGACGCCAAACUCACUCAGAGUUUUCCUGUCAUGAAGGAGUUGGUCCUUGUAUAGCUUCUGCUUCUCCCGCGGCUGCUUAGGGAUGCCCUGGACGUUAAGCUUCAGCUCGAACACCGUGCUCGACUCCUUGACUUCAGUGAAGAUGGUGGUCUUAUGGCUCCCGAUCAUGAGAAACGCGUCCUGAAGACACCAGGCUGACAUCAGUGCUUGUCUGAAGCAACCUGCCGGGCCCCAGAGCCCCUGAAGCCCCACCCCCCCGCCAGCCCUGCGCCGCUCCUCCGGUGCCCGCUCACCUAUGUUUUAUCUUUGAUGUUAUAUGCAUCGGUGUUUUGCUUGCAUGUCUGUCUGCCUGGGUGCGGUUAUCAGAUGUCCUGGAACUGGUUAUGGACAAUUUUUGAGCUGCCAUGUAGGUGCUUGGAAUUGAACCCAGGUCUUCUGGAAGAGCAACCAGUGCCGCUAACCACUGAGCCAUCUCUAGAGCCCCUGCUUGGUUUUUUGUUUUGUUUUUUGUUUUUUUCUUGAUCACUGAAAGUUUCUCCGCUCCAGUGACCAGCAUCAAGUAUCACAGCAAAGCAAAGGUUUCAUCUAGUGGCCUGGUAUCUUGUGAACCACAGCUGAUUCUCCAAACCUCACUUAAUCAGAACCACCAGGAAGGAUCUUGGCAAGACCGGAGAGCCUGCUGAUACUCAGGAUCUGGUUCCAGAACUGAUGUGCUAGAGAGUACCAGAAGAAGGCUCAAAAACUACCCGGGAAGCCUGGAUGUGGGACUCAAGAUAGGCCUACAGACCCCAAAGGCUGGGAACUUCCUGUUUCCUCUGCCAGUGCAGUUUCUUUGUGCCAGAAACAUGUGGAAGUCUGCUGUCCUCAACUCAGUCCACCGAGUACCUCCCCAGACCAGGAAUCCAUCUUCUCCAACACUGAUCCAGCCUGUACGGAGCUCUACCCAAAAAUACAAGAUCUAGGCAGCAGAGGGAAAAAGCUAUAGUAAAACUGUGGAAGCAAGGCCAGAGUACUGUGCUAGAUCUGCAGCCCCAAAGGCAGCGCCUUUCCCCUGGCCUCUGACUGUGGGCAUUCCUUGUCCCAGAGACACUGUCUUGAUUGUUCUCCUCCGCUUAGCCCUCCAAAUAUUUCCCCAGGCUCAGAGUCCACGUUUCCUAUGUGGGGAGAGACCACCAUGUGUCAGCCCUCCUCCCCCACUAAGCUCUGUAUGUUCUGGAAUCUGUCUUCUCCAUUGCUCAGACCAACAAGAGUCUCUCAUGUGAAGCCCUGGUGUCUGUACAGGUUGACCAAGCCGCACUAGACACAAUCGCAGACCAAUCAGCAGCAGCUUAUGCAAUAGCUACACACCCGGCUCUACCCCAAGACCUUCCUUAAAGGAGCUCCAAACGCCAUCAUAGCUUCAGAAGCUCCGGUGGUAGCUGUGAAGGUAGCUAGAAGCCCAAGGGAAACUCCAUUCAAAGGGGGGGGGGUAUUUUUUAAAUUUUUUCAAAUUUGAUUUUAUAUUAAAUAUUUUUACUACAUAGAAAAUAUACGGCUAUUUUAAUAUAACAUUUUUACUGGUUCUUAGAAUGUUAGAUCAAACGCCACCUGGUCAUAUUCAUUUUCCCCAUCCUUCCAAAUCCACCCAAACUUGUAACCUUCCAUAACAAAAAU